rnacentral:rRNA from 1 species
AUUGAACGCUGGCGGCAUGCCUUACACAUGCAAGUCGAACGGCAGCAUGGAGAGCUUGCUCUCUGAUGGCGAGUGGCGAACGGGUGAGUAAUGCAUCGGAACGUACCGUGUAAUGGGGGAUAACGUAGCGAAAGUUACGCUAAUACCGCAUACGACCUGAGGGUGAAAGCAGGGGAUCGCAAGACCUUGCGUUAUACGAGCGGCCGAUGUCAGAUUAGAUAGUUGGUGAGGUAAAGGCUCACCGAGGCGACGAUCUGUAGCGGGUCUGAGAGGAUGAUCCGCCACACUGGGACUGAGACACGGCCCAGACUCCUACGGGAGGCAGCAGUGGGGAAUUUUGGACAAUGGGGGCAACCCUGAUCCAGCCAUGCCGCGUGAGUGAAGAAGGCCUUCGGGUUGUAAAGCUCUUUCGGCCGGGAAGAAAUCGCACAGGCUAAUACUCUGUGUGGAUGACGGUACCGGCAUAAGAAGCACAGGCUAACUACGUGCCAGCCGCCGCCGUAA